rnacentral:rRNA from 1 species
GUAUGUUAAAGUUGCUGCAGUUAAAAAGCUCGUAGUUGAGUGUCGGGGCACACCGGUCACGGCCACACCUUCGGUGCGUGCUGGACCCCUUGUCCCUAGCUUCUGGGUGCGCCGCCCUCUCCAUUUACUUGGAAGGGAUGGUGUUCCAGAUAGUUUACUUUGAAAAAAUUAGAGUGUUAAAAGCAGGCGUAACAUGGCCUUGAAUAGAUUAGCAUGGGAUAAUGAAAGAGGGCUUUGGCCUUUGUUUCGUUGGUUUCUUCGGCCGAAGCACAUGAUUAAUAGGGAUGGUUGGGGCCGCUCGUAUCGAGUUGUCAGAGGUGAAAUUCUAGGAUUAACUCGAGACGGACAACUGCGAAAGCAUUCGGCAAGGAUGUUUUCAUUAAUCAAGAACGAAAGUUGGGGGAUCGAAGAUGAUCAGAUACCGUCGUAGUCUCAACCAUAAACCAUGUCGACCGAGGACCCGGGAACGUUACAUGAUGACUUUCCUGGUACUCUGUGAGAAAUCACAAGUAUUUGGAUUCCGGGGGGAGUAUGGUCGCAAGGCUGAAACUUAAAGGAAUUGACGGAAGGGCACCACCAGGAGUGGAACCUGCGGCUUAAUUUGACUCAACACGGGGAAACUUACCAGGUCCGGACACGGCGAGGAUUGACAGAUUGAUAGCUCUUUCUUGAUUCCGUGGAAAGUGGUGCAUGGCCGUUUUUAGUUGGUGGAGUGAUUUGUCUGGUUAAUUCCGUUAACGAACGAGACCUUAACCUAUUAAAUAGUUGCGCGAACCCAGACCUUCGGGUCUCUCCGUUCGCGGUAGACUUCUUAGAGGGACUCUUCACACCUAGUGAAUGGAAGUUUGAGGCAACAACAGGUCUGUGAUGCCCUUCGAUGUUCUGGGCCGCACGCGCGUUACAAUGAUGCGUUCAACGAGCCGUCUCCUCGCCCGAAGGGGCUUGGGAACCUUGUGAAAGCGCGUCGUGAUUGGGAUAGAACAUUGUAAUUAUUGUUUUUGAACGAGGAAUUCCUAGUAAGCGCAAGUCNUC